UAUCUUUAUCUUUUCGUCGACCUUUAACUUUUGCCACUUUGCUACUUUUUUGCAUCUGCAGACAGGCCAUUGCACCAAUGCUAAGCUAAGAAAACACCAGAGCAAGGUAGAAAGAAACAACAGAUAUUCAUAAUUUGGGUGCCCACUGUGCAAUGGGUGAAUAUGUUUCAAUGAAUGAUAAAACUUUG
rnacentral:lncRNA from 1 species